rnacentral:lncRNA from 1 species
ACGAAGUUCGUUCUGAAAUGGGGUGGUUGGUGUAUUGUAUAGUUCUAGAGAUUUGAUUUCAUUCAAAACCCACCAAAUGACUCCUCCCACAAUAUUAUGUUGUUCCCCAAGUUUUGGACUCAAUCCGAUAUCGAUUGGUCCUUGAAAUCGGACAAUUCAGGUUCGUACGAAGUUCGUUCUGAAAUGGGGUGAUUGGUGUAUUGUAUUGUUCUAGAGAUUGGAUUUCACUAAAAACCCACCAAAUGACUCCUCCCACAAUACUAUGAUGUUCCCCAAGUUUUGGACUCAAUCCGAUAUCGAUUGGUCCUUGAAAUCGGACAAUUCAGGUUCAUACGAAGUUC